rnacentral:lncRNA from 1 species
GUUGACUGCUGUCCUUCGAAACCUUAUUUGUAUUUGGUGAACUUAGAGGGAAAGUCAGCUUUGUGGUGUUCGUUGUCCUUCAUGCCAAAAGAGGUGGCAGCAUAUGACUUCACUCUUCCAGUUAAUAUUCUUCACGGUGACUUUUCAUUGUCACAGCAAAGCUCUAUACCAGCAACUCCUAUUGGAUCUGUAAAGCACAUCAUUGCUCCUCGGCCACAAGCAGUGACUGUGGCAGUUCCGGUUUGUAGAGUUAAAGCAGUUGUACUUAGAUCACCACUGGAGUUCUCCUCAAUGGAACUUACAUUUUCACUACAUU